CGGGGUGUAGCUCAGCUUGGUAGAGCACCUGCUUUGGGAGCAGGGGGUCCAAGGUUCGAAUCCUUGUAUCCCGACAA
rnacentral:tRNA from 1 species